GACGAACGCUGGCGGCGUGCCUAAUACAUGCAAGUAGAACGCUGAAGGAGGAGCUUGCUUCUCUGGAUGAGUUGCGAACGGGUGAGUAACGCGUAGGUAACCUGCCCGGUAGCGGGGGAUAACUCUUGGAAACGAUAGCUAAUACCGCAUAAGAGUAGAUGUUGCAUGACAUUUGCUUAAAAGGUGCAAUUGCAUCACUACCAGAUGGACCUGCGUUGUAUUAGCUAGUUGGUGGGGUAACGGCUCACCACGGCGACGAUACAUAGCCGACCUGGGAGGGGGAUCGGCCACACUGGAACUGGGACACGGCCCAGACUCCUACGGGAGGCAGCAGUAGGGAAUCUUCGGCAAUGGACGGAAGUCUGACCGAGCAACGCGGCGUGAGUGAAGAAGGUUUUCGGAUCGUAAAGCUCUGUUGUAAGAGAAGAACGAGUGUGAGAGUAGAAAGUUCACACUGUGACGGUAUCUUACCAGAAAGGGACGGCUAACUACG
rnacentral:rRNA from 1 species